rnacentral:rRNA from 1 species
AUUGAACGCUGGCGGCAUGCCUUACACAUGCAAGUCGAACGGUAACAGGUCUUCGGAUGCUGACGAGUGGCGAACGGGUGAGUAAUACAUCGGAACGUGCCUAGUAGUGGGGGAUAACUACUCGAAAGAGUGGCUAAUACCGCAUGAGAUCUACGGAUGAAAGCAGGGGAUCGCAAGACCUUGUGCUACUAGAGCGGCCGAUGGCAGAUUAGGUAGUUGGUGGGAUAAAAGCUUACCAAGCCGACGAUCUGUAGCUGGUCUGAGAGGACGAUCAGCCACACUGGGACUGAGACACGGCCCAGACUCCUACGGGAGGCAGCAGUGGGGAAUUUUGGACAAUGGGCGAAAGCCUGAUCCAGCAAUGCCGCGUGCAGGAUGAAGGCCUUCGGGUUGUAAACUGCUUUUGUACGGAACGAAAAGCCCCGGGUUAAUACCCUGGGGUCAUGACGGUACCGUAAGAAUAAGCACCGGCUAACUACAUGCCAGCCGCCGCUGUAAAAC